UACGUAGGGGGCUCGCGUUGUCCGGAUUUAUUGGGCGUAAAGAGCGUGUAGGCGGCCAGGUAGGUCUGCUGUGAAAACUCGAGGCUCAACCUCGAGACGUCGGCGGAAACCAUCUGGCUAGAGUCCGGAAGAGGAGAGUGGAAUUCCUGGUGUAGCGGUGAAAUGCGCAGAUAUCAGGAAGAACACCCGUGGCGAAGGCGGCUCUCUGGGACGGAACUGACGCUGAGGCGCGAAAGCGUGGGGAGCGAACAGG
rnacentral:rRNA from 1 species